GAACAGUAAAAGCAAGAGAAUAAAAAAGCCGCAUUGAAUUUCACGCCGCGAAUAUAGUUUUUAAUAUUUAAUACUAAAUUUAGUGAUUCAGUAGUGAAACUGUUGAAUUUCAGUCAGUGAAUUUCAACUGCAGUCUGUACUUAGCUAUUCUAACCUGUAUUUGUUAGAUCAGUUCCAUCAAAGAAAAGCAUACAGAAACUGCAUCACGGAUCGCCAAAAAUAAUACGUUUCGGAAUACAGUCAGUCACAACGCAGUAAGUUUGCAACCACUUUCCCGCUAGACAGAAAUACCACGCAGUGCAGACCAUUUAUAAAAGGGACUAAACGUGAGUACAGACACAGAACUCCUUUGUAAAUAUGAUGA